GGCCGGGUGGUCUAGUGGUAAGGACGUUAGCUGCGUAAGCUGAAGACGCGGGUUCAAUUCCCGCCACGGCCA